AUUACAUUUCGCAGUCUCUCGUUCUAAGGCGUUGGUGCUGUGCUGUUCUUGUUUGUAUAGAAGCAAUUUGUAAGCUUGAUCUUCGACGUUCGAAAAUCGUAAAUCUAUAAGAUGGAGAAAAUCGUCAUUUUGUCAUUUCUGUUCCUUGCUUGUGUUGUGCUUGAGUCAUUGUCACAAAGCCCUUCAACUCCUGCUCCAGGAGCCAGUGUCACACCUAAUACAACAGUGAUGCCAGGGACGUCCACUCCUGCUCCGGGAGGAGAGAAUAUGACCACAACAACUGAGGCACCAGCUAAAACUGCAACACCAACAAGCGGAGUUGUUAAUGUGAAAGCCCUUGCUGGAUUUGUCGCCUCCUUCGCUUUGAUUGCAUUGUUCUGAUCAAGCUGUGCAGAGCCAAGUUCUGAUGCCUUGUGUUUGAGUGAUUUUUUUUUUACACUUGUUAAUUUCACAGCCAAAGACUUAAGUUAGCAUAUGUUGAACUCCAUUUGCAUGAAAGGGAAGCCUGGAAGUCACCUCCUAAUCUAGACUUAAUUUGUCGCUUGUCAACAUGCAGUUAAGGCGAUGAGAUGAGUUAGAACAUUGUCUGCAUUAGAGGCGAGAUUGAAGUUCGAGACAUGUGCAGCUGUUUGAACUGGAAUUUGCAGUAUUUUACAAACUUGUAUAUUUCUGAGAAGGUUAAUAUGUCCUUUUCUAUCCGCCUAUCUAUUGUGUAUUGCGCAUGGUUAGAAUUAUAGCUACUGUUUCAAUUUUAAUGUCGGUUAUUUUUUAUAGAAAACUAGCAAAGUGUAGUUGAAAAUAAAGCUGUAAUAAUAUUGUCCUAGUAUAAGAAAAAGACAAGUUGUCCUGUGUGGUUACAUAAAAGUAAAAAAUCUUGUGUUUGCACAA